UCGGUAUCAAUACUAAUUACCAGUAAUCAGAAGAACCUUGAUCAUUUGUCAUCAUUAUUUAUUCGUAAUUAAAAUCAUGUGAACUAAACUAUUAAUUCUUACACUACAACAUUUAACAUUUUUAUAACUAUUAUGAUAUUCGGUUUUUGUUAUGAGCAACGUACAUAAUAGGCUAUCACCAUCAUCACCAUUGACCAACGACAGGAGAAUAAUAUACAAAAUAUACAUAGAACAGAUUUACCACCUUAUGGAACUUUGUAUCGCAUGUUCUGAAAUACCGAUCGUACAAUAUAUUUGAGAUUUCAUUGUGCCAUCUACGAUUUAGAGCGGUCCCUACUUCAAUGUAUCGGUAUGAAAUCCAAUCGGAUGUACCGUAAAGUCUUGUCCGGACGUGGUAUUUAUCUCGCCUGUAUCACAGUUAAAUAUCCUGAUUUGCUACAUUUGGAGAAGUAAUAAGAUUCUUGGAAGCAAUCAAUAUUUUGGUGAUUAGUAUCAAUAUUGAAGUUUAUGUACAUAUUUAUGUAUAUUGUUAAAAUGUGUUUAAACAAAGACGCUAAUGACACGUUUUAA